UGAUGGACUCGGCUGUGUUCACAACUCUCUGUAGUUUCUUACAGUCUAGGGAAGAGCAGUUGCCAUACCACGCUGCGAUGCAUACUUUCUAUGGAGCAUCUAUAAAAAUUGAUCCUUCAACGCAGUGACAGCCAAGAUGAAGACCACAGGGGCCAGAGCCAGCUCGGGCUGGAAGGCACCGACGAUGGGCACGAAGUUCAGGAGGGCGAUGAAAACGAAGUAUUCUUCCUUCAAGGGUAUUGUGCUCACAGCUUUUCCCUCUCUGCACAGUUUGGAAGGGUUGCUGACUGGGCAGGAAUUAAAAAUAACUCUUAACCUGGACCCAAUCUGAGGAACAUCGAGGUGAAUUGAAGAUUCCUCACAGAAUUACUGAAUUCAGUGCAAAAUGAGGCCAUUCACUCCAUCGUAUCUGCUCUGGCUCCCUCAGCAUUUUGACAUAGAACCAACCUCCUGCCUUGUCCCUGUAAUCCUGUACAGUGAUUCUUUAGAUAGAAACAUCAAUUGCCUUAUUCAAUGCUUCAACUGACCCUCCCUCCACCACACCUCCAGGCAGUGCACUCUAUUCCCUAAUUAGUUGCUAUAUGAUUAAAAAGCUUUUCCUCACCGUCGCAGUUGCAUCAGUUUCAAAACAUUCUAAAUCAAUGCGCCUGGUUUCAAUCCUUUUAAGAGCUGGUUUCUCCCAACUAUUCUAUCCUCUCAUGACUUCAAAGAAUGUUGUCAAAUAGUGUAGCUCAGUGGUUAGUACUGCUGCUUCACAGUAGCAGGGACAUAGAUUUGAUUCCACACUCAGGUGACCGUAUGGAGUUUGCACAUUCUCCCCGUAUCU